GUAGGUGGCAAGCGUUGUCCGGGAAUUAUUGGGGCGUAAAGCGCGCGCAGGCGGUUCUUUAAGUCUGAUGUGAAAGCCCACGGGCUCAACCGUGGAGGGUCAUUGGAAACUGGAGAACUUGAGUACAGAAGAGGAAAGCGGAAUUCCACGUGUAGCGGUGAAAUGCGUAGAGAUGCGGAGGAACACCAGUGGCGAAGGCGGCUUUCUGGUCUGUAACUGACGCUGAGGCGCGAAAGCGUGGGGAGCAAACAGGAUUAGAUACCCUGGUAGUCCACGCCGUAAACGAUGAGUGCUAAGUGUUAGGGGGUUUCCGCCCCUUAGUGCUGCAGCUAACGCAUUAAGCACUCCGCCUGGGGAGUACGGCCGCAAAGGCUGA
rnacentral:rRNA from 1 species